rnacentral:rRNA from 1 species
CAGCCGCCACGGUAAUACGAAGGGUGCAAGCGUUAAUCGGAAUUACUGGGCGUAAAGCGUGCGUAGGCGGUUUGUUAAGUCUGUUGUGAAAUCCCCGGGCUCAACCUGGGAAUGGCAAUGGAUACUGGCAAGCUAGAGUGUGUCAGAGGAUGGUGGAAUUCCCGGUGUAGCGGUGAAAUGCGUAGAGAUCGGGAGGAACAUCAGUGGCGAAGGCGGUCAUCUGGGAUAACACUGACGCUGAGGCGCGAAAGCGUGGGGAGCAAACAGGAUUAGAUACCCCUGUAGUCCCUGUCUCUUAUAC